UUUAAUGGUGUUGUCAAAUUGGUGAAAGGCAGUGUGAAAAAAGUCUAGAAGAUGGCCAAAUUGCAGUUCAUCCCCCCAAUGCCUCAAAUAGGCAGUGUAAUACUGAACACGUUUCUGCCCCAAAGUUGAAUGAAAACAAAAGUUUAACAACACAAAUACACCUGGAUGAAGAAAUGUAAAGAUUCAUGCUUUAGGAGAAGUCGCUGCUCGACAUGUAGGCUACAGUUUCCCCCGGAAGAGUUGAUGUUUUCUGUUUUGUAUGACAGGAAAUACUGUCUUACCACAUCUUAUGCAAAGUCCACAGCAGCUCUAAAGAUAUUAUCUACCAACUGGAAUCAAGUGGGAUUCCAGUGGAGAAAAUCAAUGUUGGAGUCACCUUGUCAGAUGUCUUCUUCUUUUUUUUCUCCACUGUGUAAUUUGCAACACGAUGUUCUUCAUUUCUUCAAAGCCCAUGCAGAAGUGGUACUGAGGUACACCCACGGUGCAGAGGAUCAUUGUCAUUCAGGAGAUGCAACAGUGUGCCCUACUUUCCAGAUAAAAUCACUUGACAUGUUAAAUGAGGUACAAGUUAAUGAAGCAAUGUUUCACUAAUUUGCUGCUGUUACAAAACUUACAUUCAGUCUGGCCUAUACAGGGAGGCAGCAGCGUCUCUGUGUGGUUCAAACACCUUCAUUGUCCUCCGAGAGAGUCCACUUCCAAGCUAAGUAGGUAAAUGAGAUUGAAUAUUGAUCUGAGCUGUGGAGGUUUAGGGGCCUACAUUUAUUCCCUCAGAGGACACAAGGAGAGAACAGUGGGAAAUGUCCUCAGGGAGAAUAAACCCCAGAUGCUUUGACGACUCUUCAUUCACUCAGAUACCUAAAAAGCAUUUUGCAUUGCCUUCAUUCCAGGAUUCAAUCAUGACCUUCAAACUUCAGAGAAGCAACAGCACCACUCAGAGGACACAGGAGCACACAACAAGACACAUGUUUUUUUGUGAAGUACGCUGCCCAAAAAAUAUAUACAUUUUUUUUACAUGGCAAACCUUGUAUUUUGUAUUUCUAAGUAAGACCAUAUUUUCACUUGGAUCUUUAUUGCCAGUCUUGUGUUUCACAUUGAACAAAUACAACCAUGCAAUUAGUUAUUUUUGCUGUGACAU